rnacentral:rRNA from 1 species
UACGUAGGGGGCAAGCGUUGUCCGGAUUUACUGGGCGUAAAGAGCGGGUAGGGGGCCAAACAGGUCCGUGGUGAAAACUGGAGGCUUAACCUUCAGACGUCGACGGAAACCGUGUGGCUAGAGUCCGGAAGAGGAGAGUGGAAUUCCUGGUGUAGCGGUGAAAUGCGCAGAUAUCAGGAAGAACACCAAUGGCGAAGGCAGCUCUCUGGGACGGUACUGACGCUGAGACGCGAAAGCGUGGGGAGCGAACAGG